CAUAGUGAGCGUGAUUUAAUAUUUUUUUAACUUCCGGGUGGAGUGAAUUACUUUGAUUUGUAGUGAAUUUUUAAAUUCAGAGCUGUUUACAAGCUACCUAGAAUCCUUGCUUUUUGCAUUCAUCAUUUUGUAUCCUGAUGGUGGAGUUUUGUGGUGAAGCUCUGGAGUGGACUCGACCAGCUGUCCAAUAGAUGCUGAGGUACAAAUUCUGUUGGCUGAGCUCAAAAUGGAAUGAACAUUUCAAGUUCAAGAUGAACAAAGUUCACAACCUCGAUUUCUUGUUGUAAACAUCCAGUGCUAAAGUGUAACAUUUAAAAGUGGGGAAGGGAGUGUCCUUGACAAGGGCAUCUACAGAGCAAGUAUAUGUACAUUUUAUUUUAGAUCUUUGCAUUUCCUUUUGGGCAAGCUUUUUGUGCAUGCAAAAAGUUUUUGUAUAACACUGUAAAUUUCCAUAAUUAUUUUAAACACCAGAGAAGUAAAUCAUCUACACUAUUGUAAUGUUGUGCAGUAUGGUGCAAUUAAUGAAUUCCCACACAAAUAGAUUGAAUAUUUUUUACUACGUAAUUACUGCUUCACUUUAAAAAUACAGGUGGCAAUUACACAACUGUUGUACAAAACAAAAUAAAGACUUUAUGGUUAGACCACAUCUAAUCUGCAUAUAGUCUCGGGUAACACAUCUCAACUGUGCUGUGAGAACGUAGUACCAACAUAGCAAUCUUGGUGCAGAAUUACUGAAAAUCUCAAUGUUUGUUUUUCUUAUUGGAAAAAAUUACCAAAAUCAUACUAAACAAAAAAAAACUUAAUCACAACCAAUCAACUAUGAAAAGCUCUUCAUAUAGCUAAACACUAUGGGAACUUUUUCAGUAUUACUUUACACAACUGUUGCACCUUUCAGAUAUGGAAAGCAAAAGCUACAAAGUAAAGAUUUCGUUAUAAUGUUAAAAAGCUUUCGGUGACAAGACAUAUAGCAAAACACUCAUGAUUACACACUGUGUUCAACAUUGAACUGUAUGAGGAUCACUUUCAUUUUCCAUUUUGCGAAAUUGUGCUAAAUGGGUUUGGUAAUACAGUAGUUCUCCCUUAUCCGCAGUAAUAUGUUCCAACACCCCCAGCGGAUGCCUAAUAGUCCGAACCCUAUAUAUAGUUUUUCCUAUACAGAAGAAGAAACUAAGGGCCAAUACCCAGGUCCUCAUAAGUAUUGAUUUUUUAAAUAAGGGGUUACUUGAACACAAGCGCUGCGAUAUCAUGACAGUCGAUAUGCUGGACAAAGGGACGAUUCAUGUCCCAGGUGGGAUGGUGCGAGAUUUCAUCACGCUACUCUGAACGGCGUGCAAUUUAAAACUUAUGAAUUGCUUAUUUCUGGAAUUUUUCAUUUAAUAUUUUGGACUGCAGUUGACCCUAGGUAAUUGAAAACACAGAAAACGAAACUGCGGACAAGGGGGGACCACUGUAUCAGAUUUUAGAAUUCAUGUUAAUGAGUAGAUCAUAAAGGCUUGAUGACACCUAUUCAAGAUUAUUAGUUUUAUUCCCCAAUAAUAUCUUCAUUCAAAAUUGCUUGUUAUCAUUGAAAGUGGGGUAAACAUCUGUACCACCAGUAACUACAUUAGCAGUGCCAGUUCAUGACUUACAAAGACCAAUGUAUUCAGUAGCAAAACAUGUAGGAUGAACACCAGUAUAUAGAAUUUUGUAUAUUAUACUUGGGUGCAAUAACACUAUUUAAAAAAAAAAAUUACAAGCCCUCCCCCUCACCCCAAGUACUGAAUCCAAGAUAUAAGUUGUACAUAUGCCCAGAAUAGCAAAUAUACCAUUACAGAUAGGGGUUAUUAGAUAUCAAGGCAAUACAGUUCUGAAAUGUAACAAUACUUUUUAAAAAAAAAAAAAAAAAAAAAAAUGUGGAGG